UACGAAGGGGGCUAGCGUUGCUCGGAAUCACUGGGCGUAAAGGGUGCGUAGGCGGGUCUUUAAGUCAGGGGUGAAAUCCUGGAGCUCAACUCCAGAACUGCCUUUGAUACUGAGGAUCUUGAGUUCGGGAGAGGUGAGUGGAACUGCGAGUGUAGAGGUGAAAUUCGUAGAUAUUCGCAAGAACACCAGUGGCGAAGGCGGCUCACUGGCCCGUAACUGACGCUGAGGCACGAAGGCCAGGGGAGCAAACGGG
rnacentral:rRNA from 1 species